ensembl:lncRNA
UGAGUCCAGAUUCUCUGAUUUGAAGGACCAUACUCUUUGGACAGCUGCACCUUGCCUCUUUAUAGAUUAUUCUCUUAUUAGAAUUUUUAUUUUCUUUCCACGUGUCAGAGGUUGUACAGUUCUAACCAAGACUUCAGAUAUUCAAGAGCCAUCAAAGAAAAUAGGAGAGAGCGGAAAUGAAGAAUAUAGAAGGCUGAAGAAGAACUACCAAUGGCUUCCUUGCUCCAUGGUGUUCUAUCCUACCUGCUGGAGCUAGUGCAUAUAACCACAGUACAAGUAUUUCUAGAAGAUUGUUGCGUCCUUAUGAAGACCUUUGAGCACAACAGGAAGGUGAGGGGACAUUUAAUAUUACUGAAAUGGGAUAUGAAAUUAGCCACAAGGAAGUCCUCCAGGAAAAAAGGGUGUGGAAGAGGAGAUGAGUGAAAGAUGAGCAUGAGUAUUGAUCCACUACCUUCAACUAGAAGACCUUGCUUACAAAAGCUAACAUUUUUAAUUUUAAUGAAGUUCAAUUUAUCAAUGUUUUAUCUUAUGGGCUCACACUUUUAGUGUUCCUUUAGAGAGCUUUUAGUGUGAUAUCACGCUUAAAGCCAUUGCCCGAAUAUCCAUAAUAUAUUCUAAGUGGUAUAUGAGUAACAUAAAGUUCUAUAAGAGUUCAGGGGAAGGAAAGAGCACUUAGAAGUAGGUAGUUUUGCUAUGUUGCUUAACAGUUUUCCAAGAAGUCCUGCUGACUCCUGAAUUUUCUAAGUAUUGAGAUAUAUUGUUUAUGCUUUAAGAUUUGGCUUAAGCACAUGAAGUUUAAGAAAUGUAUCUGUCUGAGGCCAGUGAGCUCUAAGCAGAGCCAUUUAGUGAUAAAAAGAACUAGGAAUGUUCUUAAGCUCUCAAAUUCUGCCCAGCACUCACCCUCUUUUUCAGCCAUGUGUCCUUGUAUUCCAUAGGAGUUUCUUUAAAUGGACCCUUUGGAUUUUAUACAUUCUGUGAUGUAUGAGGAAUAAAUUGUUUAUUUUACUUUUUGCUAUGAUCUCU